AUUGAACGCUGGCGGCAGGCCUAACACAUGCAAGUCGAACGAGUGGCGGACGGGUGAGUAAUGUCUGGGAAACUGCCUGAUGGAGGGGGAUAACUACUGGAAACGGUAUCUAAUACCGCAUACAAUCGGAUGUGCUCAGAUGGGAUUAGCUAUUAGGUGGGUUAAAGGCUCACCUAGGCGACGAGCCCUAGCUGGUCUGAGAGGUCGACGGGCCACACUGGAACUGGAAAACGGUCCGGACGCCUACGGGGGGAGGCAGGGGGGAAUGUUGGACAAUGGGGGCAGGCCUGAGGCGGCAAUGCCGCGUGUAUGAAGAAGGCCUUCGGGUGGUAAAGUACGUUCAGCGGGGAGGCGUUACCCGCAGAGGAAGCAACGGCUAACUCCGUGCCAGCAGCCGCGGUAAUAC
rnacentral:rRNA from 1 species